rnacentral:misc_RNA from 1 species
UAUGGAAAAGUAUUUCACUUUCACCCAGGAGAGAGACCAGUAAGACCUAUAGUGGACAACUUAAAUUUUCCUCAAGAAUUCUUGGACAAUUUGUACAAUUUUCCAUUUUGUGAAAUUAACUCAUUAAAGUCAGAAGAAGGAAAGAGUGAUGAUGUAAUUGACAAUUCUCACGGAGACUCUGUUCCAAGUGAAGGUGAUAGUUUGUCAGACACAACUGUGAAACAGUGUACAGACAGUAAUACAGAGACCAACACUGGCGGGGAGUCCACAGAGAGCCAAGACAAAGACAACACAGACCCUGUGGCAAGGAAGAGAAAAGCAGAGAUGUCGACAAGAGAGGCGAACAAAAUAUUGUAUAGCAAACGGUUGUCUGAGGCUAAGGAACUGCUAUUGAAGCGGAAUAUAGAUUGUUUGAUCAUUGCCAGCAAGUUCAAUCCAACACCUUUAGUGACGACUUUGAUCGAGUACGUGGCUCCCUCUAGACCAAUUGUUGUAUACAGCCAAUACAAGGAGGCUGUGAUGGAUGCCUACGCAUAUCUACGAGAGAUUGGGUGCCUGGUCAAUUACAGGGUCUCCGAGACAUGGCUCAGGGAGUAUCAGAUCCUGCCCAUGAGAACACACCCAGAGAUACAAAUGAGUGCCGGAGGGGGAUAUCUACUCACAGCCACUACAAUAGUCAAAGAGCAAAAGUGAAUGAUGGAUGGGUGGUUAAUGAAAUUGUGUAUCUAUAAAAAAAAUUAAAUAAAUAAA